CGCGAAUGGCUCCUUACAACAGCCACCGUUUAAUAGAAUAUAGUUAUCCUACUUGGAUAACUGUGGCAAUUCUAGAGCUAAUACACGCAAAAAAGCUCUGCCCGCAAGGAACAAGCGCAUUUAUUAGAAUAAAAACCAAUCGGCUUUCGGCCCGUAAUUUGGUGAAUCUGAAUAACUUUGCCAAUCGCACAGUCCUAGUACUGGCGAUGUAUCUUUCAAGUGUCUGCCUUAUCAACUUUCGAUGGUAGGUUAUAUGCCUACCAUGGUAGUAACGGGUAACGGAGAAUAAGGGUUCGACUCCGGAGAGGGAGCCUGAGAAACGGCUACCACAUCCAAGGAAGGCAGCAGGCGCGCAAAUUACCCACUUCCAGAACGGAGAGGUAGUGACGAAAAAUAACGAGACAGUCCUCUUCGAGGUCGGUCAUCGGAAUGGGUACAAUUUAAAUCCUUUAACGAGGAUCUAUUGGAGGGCAAGUCUGGUGCCAGCAGCCGCGGUAAUUCCAGCU
rnacentral:rRNA from 1 species